rnacentral:tRNA from 1 species
GGGGCCGCGGUCCAGUCAGGAGUGGACGCUUGCCUGUCACGCAGGAGAUCGCGGGUUCGAAUCCCGCCGGCCCCGCCA